rnacentral:rRNA from 1 species
GAUGAACGCUGGCGGCGUGCCUAAUACAUGCAAGUCGAGCGAACAGACGAGGAGCUUGCUCCUCUGACGUUAGCGGCGGACGGGUGAGUAACACGUGGAUAACCUACCUAUAAGACUGGGAUAACUUCGGGAAACCGGAGCUAAUACCGGAUAAUAUAUUGAACCGCAUGGUUCAAUAGUGAAAGACGGUUUUGCUGUCACUUAUAGAUGGAUCCGCGCCGCAUUAGCUAGUUGGUAAGGUAAAGGCUUACCAAGGCGACGAUGCGUAGCCGACCUGAGAGGGUGAUCGGCCACACUGGAACUGAGACACGGUCCAGACUCCUACGGGAGGCAGCAGUAGGGAAUCUUCCGCAAUGGGCGAAAGCCUGACGGAGCAACGCCGCGUGAGUGAUGAAGGUCUUCGGAUCGUAAAACUCUGUUAUUAGGGAAGAACAAAUGUGUAAGUAACUAUGCACGUCUUGACGGUACCUAAUCAGAAAGCCACGGCUAACUACGUG